rnacentral:rRNA from 1 species
AGCGAACGCUGGCGGCAGGCCUAACACAUGCAAGUCGAACGAACUCUUCGGAGUUAGUGGCGGACGGGUGAGUAACACGUGGGAACGUGCCUUUUGGUUCGGAAUAACUCAGGGAAACUUGUGCUAAUACCGAAUGUGCCCUUCGGGGGUAAGAUUUAUCGCCAUUUGAGCGGCCCGCGUCUGAUUAGCUAGUUGGUGAGGUAACGGCUCACCAAGGCCACGAUCAGUAGCUGGUCUGUGAGGAUGACCAGUCACACUGGGACUGAGACACGGCCCAGACUCCUACGGGAGGCAGCAGUGGGGAAUCUAGCGGAAUGGGCGAAAGCGUGACGCAGCCAUGCCGCGUGAAUGAGGAAGGUCUUAGGAUUGUAAAAUUCUUUCACCGGGGACGAUAAUGACGGUACCGGGAGAAGAAGCCCCGGCUAACUACGUG